GCUACCAUGCAGUCGAACGCCCCGCAGGGGAGUGGCAGACGGGUGAGUAACGCGUGGGAACAUACCCUUUCCUGCGGAAUAGCUCCGGGAAACUGGAAUUAAUACCGCAUACGCCCUACGGGGGAAAGAUUUAUCGGGGAAGGAUUGGCCCGCGUUGGAUUAGCUAGUUGGUGGGGUAAAGGCCUACCAAGGCGACGAUCCAUAGCUGGUCUGAGAGGAUGAUCAGCCACAUUGGGACUGAGACACGGCCCAAACUCCUACGGGAGGCAGCAGUGGGGAAUAUUGGACAAUGGGCGCAAGCCUGAUCCAGCCAUGCCGCGUGAGUGAUGAAGGCCUUAGGGUUGUAAAGCUCUUUCACCGAUGAAGAUAAUGACGGUAGUCGGAGAAGAAGCCCCGGCUAACUUCGUGCCAGCAGCCGCGGUAAUACGAAGGGGGCUAGCGUUGUUCGGAAUUACUGGGCGUAAAGCGCACGUAGGCGGAUAUUUAAGUCAGGGGUGAAAUCCCGCAGCUCAACUGCGGAACUGCCUUUGAUACUGGGUAUCUUGAGUAUGGAAGAGGUAAGUGGAAUUCCGAGUGUAGAGGUGAAACUCGUAGAUAUUCGGAGGAACACCAGUGGCGAAGGCGGCUUACUGGUCCAUUACUGACGCUGAGGUGCGAAAGCGUGGGGAGCAAACAGGAUUACAUACCCUGGUAGUCCACGCCGUAUACGAUGAAUGUUAGCCGUCGGGCGGUAUACUGUUCGGUGUCGCAGCUAACGCAUUAAACAUUCCCGCCUGGGGAGUACCGUCGCAAGAUUAAAACUACAAAUGAAUUGACGGCGUGCCGCACC
rnacentral:rRNA from 1 species